rnacentral:lncRNA from 1 species
AAACAUUGUUGAAGUCUGUACACGGCUACUAAAGUGCACGCAGUGCUUCGCAAAGCUACUGCGUGCUGUUUCUUACAAGGCAAGAAACAAUGAGGAUCACCUUUAUCGCCCUCACACUCGUCGCUCUCGCAUUCGUGUGCAUGGAAGAGUUUGCUGGAGGAUAUCAUAUAAGGUUACCCAGAGUUAGGAUUCCAAAGGUUCGUGUUCCUAGAGUGAAGCUAUCACGUGUGCAUAUGCCGAAACGUGUGG